rnacentral:snoRNA from 1 species
CUAACAUGAGGAAUUAUUGCACUGGGCACUGAAUAUUUUGUGAGUGACAACGCAUUUAUGGUGGGCCUCAGAAACCCACUGUUACUGAUCCU